rnacentral:ncRNA from 1 species
CAUGGACCCGAACGACGGUUCGGGUGGCUCUUCCGGCCGCCGAUCCGCCGGAUAACG